rfam:Oryza glumipatula chromosome 1, whole genome shotgun sequence.
AAUAAAUACAGUUUUACACUAUUUAUAUAUAAUGUUUGACCGUUUAUCUUAUUUUAAAAUUUUUUUAUGAUUAGUAUUUUUAUUGUUAUUAGAUGAUAAAACAUGAAUAGUACUUUAUGGAUGACUUUUUAGUUUUUUCAUAAAUUUUUCAAAUAAAACGAACGGUAAAACGUUAGACACGGAUACUCUCACGACUGUACUUAUU